AGGUUCUUCUGUGAUAUGUUUUCAUGGUGUGGGAAUAAGACUUGGUGGUCUAAUACAGCUAAUACGAAGGUUAGCAUCACAGCUUGUCUGUAAAGAUUGAAGCUGGGAGUGGGCAUUGGAGUUGACUUUUAUGGUAACUGUGGCUGCAUAAAGGGCUAUGUGAUUUUACUGUAACAGUAAAGAUUGUAAUUCAGACUAUUUUUGUGUAUGUUUGAGAAAAUGUUUAUAAUUUUUACAAAAAGAAAAAAAAAAUUAUGUACAGGUUCUCCAUUUUCAACAAGAUUGGAAGUUGUAGGUUAAUAGGUCUUUGAAAUUUCAAAAAUUACUUUCUAUUUUCUGUUCAUACUCAUGUCUAGAGAAAACACUUCCAGUAGUUUAAGAAUGGAGAAUCUAAAAAAAAAAGAAAAAAAAAAAAAAAGAAAAGAAAAAAAUGUUCAAUUAUUGAAAUGUUUUUUUUUUUGGCAAAUUGUAAUAUAUUUUUUCACCUUUGUGUCAUUUUUAGCUGAGUUUAUAACAAAGGGUAUAUCAUUUUAAGAAUAUUUUACAAGAAGCAUAGUUGAAGAAUAUCUUGAUGAAAGUAGAUUGAUUGAUUUUUGGUAUUUAACACCACUUUCAGCAUGAUUUGCUAUAUCUUGGCUGCCAGUUUUUAUUUGUGGAGACAGCCUGGUGAAAACAUCCCCUUCAACAGAGAAACUGGCAACUCUAGUCAAUUAAGAUUGACGUUAAACACACCUACAAUGUGAGGGUUCAGAGUGUUGACAGGCUAGUGAUACAGUAGUUGAACUACUUUGACCAUUCAGCCACCAUUACUCCAUCCACACUAAAUAUGUUAUUGAAAUGUGUUGAAUUUUUGUAAUUUAAUUAUUUUUUUAUUUUGAUUACCGGUAUACUAUUUAUGUUUUUUUGUUAUAUAUAACAAAGAUGGGGAGUUCUAACAGGGUGAAAUUUAGGUCAA